AGAUGCCCCAGAGACAAUCCAGCACAUAACAGCAGGGUGCAAGAUGCUAGCAGGCAAGGCAUACAUGGAACGCCAUAACCAAGUGGCCGGCAUAGUGUACAGGAACAUCUGUGCCAAGUAUAACCUGGAAGUCCCGAGGUCAAAAUGGGAGAUGCCCCCAAGGGUGGUGGAGAAUGACCGAGCUAAGAUCCUGUGGGACUUCCAGAUACAGACGGACAAAAUGGUGGUGGCUAACCAACCGGACAUAGUGGUGGUAGACAAACAGAAGAAGACGGCCGUAGUGAUCGAUGUAGCGGUUCCGAAUGACAGCAAUAUCAGGAAGAAGGAACACGAGAAGCUGGAGAAAUACCAAGGGCUCAGAGAAGAGCUCGAGAGGAUGUGGAGGGUGAAGGUAAUGGUGAUCCCCGUGGUAAUCGGAGCACUAGGUGCGGUGACUCCCAAGCUAGGCGAGUGGCUCCAGCAGAUCCCGGGAAUAACAUCGGAGAUCUCUGUCCAGAAGAGCGCAGUCCUGGGAACAGCUAAGAUACUGCGCAGGACCCUCAAGCUCCCAGGCCUCUGGUAGUGGACCCGAGCUUGAAGGAUAAACCGCCCGCAGGGGCGUGCUGGGUGGUUUUUUUUUUUUGGUUUUUUUUAAGAAGACGGCCGUAGUGAUCGAUGUAGCGGUUCCGAAUGACAGCAAUAUCAGGAAGAAGGAACACGAGAAGCUGGAGAAAUACCAAGGGCUCAGAGAAGAGCUCGAGAGGAUGUGGAGGGUGAAGGUAACGGUGGUCCCCGUGGUAAUCGGAGCACUAGGUGCGGUGACUCCCAAGAUAGGCGAGUGGCUCCAGCAGAUCCCGGGAACAACAUCGGAGAUCUCUGUCCAGAAGAGCGCAGUCCUGGGAACAGCUAAGAUACUGCGCAGGACCCUCAAGCUCCCAGGCCUCUGGUAGAGGACCCGAGCUUGAAGGAUAAACCGCCCGCAGGGGCGUGCUGGGUGUUUUUUUUUUUUUUAUAUAUAUAUAUAUAUAUAUAUGGAGGUUUAGAAGCUCCAUUAACUUUUCAACCACAAAACUGUGCACUGUGUGUUUAAAAAAAGUCACAUCUCCCUCAUAGUUCUCUCUGCAUCGACGUAAACAUCAAGUUAAAUCUGCGGUUUUGCACUUCAGUGUUUCGAAGAGCCUGAAGCCUGAAGAGCAAAAAAAACCACUAAAAUAUGCAAAUGUCCACAUAAUCACAUACUCUGGACAGUGGAUAUCAGCUUUCUUUUAUUCCAUGAGUUUAAAAUCAGCUCAGGUAAAGUCAGUUUGUUCUAUUCCGUCAGUCAAACACAACAACACUUCUUACUGUUACUGCAGCAACUCGACAUAAGCCACGCUGCUCGGCCGUCCUUUUUGAAAGACAGCAAUGCUGUAAGAGAACAGCAGCUGUGUGUGUGCGUGCAAAGGUCAUGACACAGAGAUAGCUGCGGAAACUCGGCUAUAUGAGGAGCAAAGCAGGAAAGAAGGGCAUACGUUAAUGUUCAGGCCCAUAUCUAACACAGAUGUGAAAAUGUAGUUAUUCAGCUGAAGCAC
ensembl:lncRNA